AAAGGGUGCGUAGGCGGACUUGUAAGUCAGAGGUGAAAUCCUGAGGCUCAACCUCAGAACUGCCCCUGAUACUAUAGGUCUUGAAUACUCUGGAGGUGGGCGGAACGGGUCAUGUAGCGGUGAAAUGCAUAGAGAUGACCCGGAACACCGAUUGCGAAGGCAGCCCGCUACGGAGUGAUUGACGCUGAGGCACGAAAGCGUGGGGAUCAAACAGGAUUAGAUACCCCAGU
rnacentral:rRNA from 1 species